CUAAAAAACAAUAUAAUCACUAUAAUGUAAUUACAGCAAAUAAUCUAGAUUCUGCAUAAUUAAAACUUGUAUAAAAUGUAAUAUAAUUUUUUUAUUGGUACUCAACUUACUCAUGAAUGAUGAUGUAAAUAUAUUAGUCAUAAUUUUAAGUGGCAGCUUGGUGCUAUGUAUUUGGAAUGCUGGAAUGUUUUAGAUGUUUAUUAUUUUUAUGAGAAAUAAAACAGAUCUCAAAGUGACAAAAGCU
rnacentral:lncRNA from 1 species